rnacentral:lncRNA from 10 species
GUAUUGUUUAUGUGGGAUCCUGUAUUUGUGAAACUUAAGGAAUGGGACGAGUAAUAGAAAUAAAAUAUCAGAAAGGAGCGUUCCAUAGAGUUAGGUUAAUGGAGAAGGUAUGCAGAUUCUAAGUAGUGUGCGUAAAUUUGUGGCUAGCAGUGGUUGUGGGCAGAUGCGUCGGAAGUUGUUCUGGGAACAGAGGUCUGUGAACUCUUGGAGGAGGUAGGGGGCUUUUGGCUGCAUGUGAAGGAAACACUGAUUUAGGAUCUUUAUCUUCCCUACACAUUGGAGACAGAAAAGAAAACAAUUCCCACCCUCAACUCAGCCAGAUCAUGGUGAGUUUUAAUUUAAUUUAAUUUAUUUUGUUAUUUUAUUUUUGAGAUGGAGUCUCACUCUGUUGCCCAGGAGAAUUGCUUGAGCCCAGGAGGCUGACGUUGC